rnacentral:lncRNA from 1 species
CUCGCCCAAAGAAGACUACAAUCUCCAGGGAAACCUGGGGCGUCUCGCGCAAACGUCCAUAACUGAAAGUAGCUAAGGCACCCCAGCCGGAGGAAGUGAGCUCUCCUGGGUCAAGGCUUGGGUCUUGCCCCGCAGACCCUUGGGACGACCCGGCCCCAGCGCAGCUAUGAACCUGGAGCGAGUGUCCAAUGAGGAGAAAUUGAACCUGUGCCGGAAGUACUACCUGGGGAGCGUCUGGAUGAGGAAGCUGGGAAAACACCCUCAGACACCCACAAUAAGGACUGCUCCAUCGCAGCCACUGGCAAAAG